AUUUUACAAAGACACCUACUCCUGAUGCAAUAUAUAAAAGUGAUUGCCACCAGGGGGUAGAACCUGACAGUAUGAAAAAACCAGUUCCAGUACCCAACACAACACAGAGAGUCCCUCGCACCACAGCCAAUUCAACUUAAUACACAAGGAAGGAGUUUUACAAUUUAUUUUUUUCCCUUCCAAGAACAAACAAUAAAAGGCGUUGUCUUGGAGACCCUUUUCAUAGUUAUGCUACACCUCUAUAUCACAAUCACCAUAUUGUC
rnacentral:misc_RNA from 1 species